rnacentral:lncRNA from 1 species
UUUGAUUAUUUACUUGGGUUAGGAUAUUAAAAUAUUGGUUGGAUUGUACGACAUAAAUAGAUGUAGUUUUUGAUCAGACAUUUGAUUUUAUUUGUGAAAUGCCCACAAAAAAGGCUUCCAAUGAUUCAACAUCAGUGUGUUUGCUGCAUAAUGGGUCAUUCCUGCUGAAUUUUUAGAUCAUUUGAAGACUACACGG